UACGAAGGGUGCAAACGUUGCUCGGAAUCAUUGGGCGUAAAGCGCACGUAGGCGGCCCGUUAAGUCGGAUGUGAAAUCCCUCGGCUCAACCGAGGACGUGCAUUCGAAACUGGCGGGCUCGAGUAUGGAAGAGGGUCGCGGAAUUCCCGGUGUAGAGGUGAAAUUCGUAGAUAUCGGGAGGAACACCAGUGGCGAAGGCGGCGACCUGGGCCAAUACUGACGCUGAGGUGCGAAAGCGUGGGGAGCAAACAGG
rnacentral:rRNA from 1 species